rnacentral:rRNA from 1 species
ACGAACGCUGGCGGCACGCUUAACACAUGCAAGUCGAACGAGAGAAGAGGAGCUUGCUUUUCUGAUCUAGUGGCGGACGGGUGAGUAACACGUGAGCAAUCUGCCUUUCAGAGGGGGAUACCGAUUGGAAACGAUCGUUAAUACCGCAUAACAUAAUUGAACCGCAUGAUUUGAUUAUCAAAGAUUUAUCGCUGAAAGAUGAGCUCGCGUCUGAUUAGCUAGUUGGUAAGGUAACGGCUUACCAAGGCGACGAUCAGUAGCCGGACUGAGAGGUUGAUCGGCCACAUUGGGACUGAGACACGGCCCAGACUCCUACGGGAGGCAGCAGUGGGGAAUAUUGCACAAUGGAGGAAACUCUGAUGCAGCGAUGCCGCGUGAGGGAAGAAGGUUUUAGGAUUGUAAACCUCUGUCUUCAGGGACGAAAAAAGACGGUACCUGAGGAGGAAGCUCCGGCUAACUACGUGCCAGCAGCCGCGGUAAUACGUAGGGAGCGAGCGUUGUCCGGAAUUACUGGGUGUAAAGGGAGCGUAGGCGGGAUCGCAAGUCAGAUGUGAAAACUAUGGGCUUAACCCAUAAACUGCGUUUGAAACUGUGGUUCUUGAGUGAAGUAGAGGUAAGCGGAAUUCCUAGUGUAGCGGUGAAAUGCGUAGAUAUUAGGAGGAACAUCAGUGGCGAAGGCGGCUUACUGGGCUUUAACUGACGCUGAGGCUCGAAAGCGUGGGGAGCAAACAGGAUUAGAUACCCUGGUAGUCCACGCCGUAAACGAUGAUUACUAGGUGUGGGGGGACUGACCCCUUCCGUGCCGCAGCAAACGCAAUAAGUAAUCCACCUGGGGAGUACGACCGCAAGGUUGAAACUCAAAGGAAUUGACGGGGGCCCGCACAAGCAGUGGAGUAUGUGGAUUAAUUCGAAGCAACGCGAAGAACCUUACCAGGUCUUGACAUCGUAUGCAUAGCUCAGAGAUGAGUGAAAUCUCUUCGGAGACAUAUAGACAGGUGGUGCAUGGUUGUCGUCAGCUCGUGUCGUGAGAUGUUGGGUUAAGUCCCGCAACGAGCGCAACCCUUACUGUUAGUUGCUACGCAAGAGCACUCUAGCAGGACUGCCGUUGACAAAACGGAGGAAGGUGGGGAUGACGUCAAAUCAUCAUGCCCCUUAUGACCUGGGCCUCACACGUACUACAAUGGCUGUCAACAGAGGGAUGCAAAGCCGCGAGGUGGAGCGAACCCCUAAAAGCAGUCUUAGUUCGGAUUGUAGGCUGCAACCCGCCUACAUGAAGUCGGAAUUGCUAGUAAUCGCAGAUCAGCAUGCUGCGGUGAAUACGUUCCCGGGCCUUGUACACACCGCCCGUCACGCCAUGGGAGUCGGUAACACCCGAAGCCUGUAGUCUAACCGCAAGGAGGACGCAGUCGAAGGUGGGAUUGAUGACUGGGGUG